CGGCACCGCUCGCGCGGGGUCUGGAGAGUCGGAGACAGCAGCGGCACCCGCCUCCCCGUCCGGGCACCCUCGGGCUGCUGCCGCUCCCGGGAACACCGGCAGCCUGGGGGAUGCCGCGAGGGGUUUCGCUCCCAGGGAGCAAGGAGAAUGUCACCUGUCCCUGGAGGACGACGUUCAGCACAGAGGUCAGACUUCAAAACCGGACACGGUGAUUGCACUAAGCAGGGCUCGUCCCUCGUCCCCUCGGCCUCCGCUGCAGCAUCGCUCUCCUGUUUUGCAUCUUAGGCGCCUGCAUGGCGUGUUUCUCCUCUCGCUGCGAAGGGCACGGGCACCUCUUGCCAUGCCCUCCCCUGCCGCCGGCACCUAC
rnacentral:lncRNA from 1 species